AUUUUGCACUUGUGUUUGAAUUUUGAUUUUUACCUUUCUGAUUCAGAAAAGCUCUGAUCAGUAUUUUCAGAUUUAAGGAAUUGUUUGAUACGCCUUUUCACAAUAUACAUAAGUUUUCAAUUUUGUCAACUUGGACCCAUGGUACUGUAAUCCACAUUCCCACUAUGGAUGGACUAUGCCCCAAACAUUUCCUAGAGUGGAAGUCCCGAAAGACUAAUUUUGGGACAUUUUUCAGUUGAAUGUGGACCAUCUUUGUAUUCCUUUUUUGAAUUAUCUAUAAAUCCAUGAAUUUAUGGUAAUGUGGAUUUACGGAAUUCAUGAAUUUAACAAUUCCCUGCCUCAAAUGCCUUCUCAAACAGUCCCUAAAUUCAUAUUUCACAUUAUAUUUUCAUUUUUUUUUUUUUACUUCUUUCCUCAAUUUUGUGAUGGGGGAGGUUUUUGGGUAAAAACUUCCUUGACACAGUGGAGCAAACUUCCAAUGUUUGUAUAUUCCUUUUUAAACAUUACAGAAAAAUGCAUGGGUGGAUGUAAGUCUGGUGAAUGAUGUUUAGUCUAUUUCAUCCUCUACAGUGGGGCCCAUUGCAUCAAUAAUCUUGAUUGCUAUAACUGGGCCCACCAUAUGGGAUGCUGAAACAAGUGAAAAUGUUGACUGAUGUAUUGUUGAGAAGAGAAGAAAUGGAUGGAUAAAUUGGGUCUUUUAGAAAAUUUCUUCUGUUCAUUUUCCAUUUUAUUUUAUUUUAUUUUGUAUGUAAUCUAUUUUAUUCAUUCUGGUUUAUUUGUAAACUCCUUUUUACUACCCUGCCAAGAAAGGAUAAUUGAAAUCCUGCAUUUUCCCCAGAGUUUUAUCACUGAUCUGGGUUUUGUCAUUUUUGAAGGUCAAGAUAAGAUUGCUGAUUUUGAGAUGAAGCUCAUGGACAUUGACAACGAGCAUCUUGGAAUUCCAGAAGCAGAGUAUCAUGCCAUUGUAAAGAUGCCAUCAGGAAUGAAUUGGAAAUAUCUCCGUCGACGUUGUACGAUUUAGCAUGUGUACUAGAGAAUGCUCCUUUCAUCAACAGAAGCCCACAAAACACCUUUGAUUGCUCUUGAACUAACAGUGGCACAACUUAUGGUGUGAAUCCAAUGGGUAUUAAAAUGGAAAAAAUGGCAAUGUUCUGAAUGCAACAGACUAAUGCCCAUUAUCCAAAGCUUAAGAUUGUUGGCCUCAUGAUUUCGAACAAUUCAAUUUUGGUUACUUGUAUGUCA